AGGGUUCGAUCAUGGCUCAGGAUGAACGCUGGCGGCGUGCUUAACACAUGCAAGUCGAACGAAGCACUUUACUUGAUCUCUUCGGAGUGAUUGUUCUGUGACUGAGUGGCGGACGGGUGAGUAACGCGUGGGUAACCUGCCUUGUACAGGGGGAUAACAGUUGGAAACGACUGCUAAUACCGCAUAAGCGCACAGGACCGCAUGGUCCGGUGUGAAAAACUCCGGUGGUAUAAGAUGGACCCGCGUCUGAUUAGCUAGUUGGUGGGGUAACGGCCUACCAAGGCGACGAUCAGUAGCCGACCUGAGAGGGUGACCGGCCACAUUGGGACUGAGACACGGCCCAA
rnacentral:rRNA from 1 species